AGCGAACGCUGGCGGCAGGCCUAACACAUGCAAGUCGAACGAACUCUUCGGAGUUAGUGGCGGACGGGUGAGUAACACGUGGGAACGUGCCUUUUGGUUCGGAAUAACUCAGGGAAACUUGUGCUAAUACCGAAUGCGCCCUUCGGGGGAAAGAUUUAUCGCCAUUAGAGCGGCCCGCGUCUGAUUAGCUAGUUGGUGAGGUAACGGCUCACCAAGGCGACGAUCAGUAGCUGGUCUGAGAGGAUGACCAGCCACACUGGGACUGAGACACGGCCCAGACUCCUACGGGAGGCAGCAGUGGGGAAUCUUGCGCAAUGGGCGAAAGCCUGACGCAGCCGUGCCGCGUGAAUGAUGAAGGUCUUAGGAUUGUAAAAUUCUUUCACCGGGGACGAUAAUGACGGUACCCGGAGAAGAAGCCCCGGCUAACUUCGUG
rnacentral:rRNA from 1 species